GAUGAAGAACGCAGCGAAAUGCGAUAAGUAAUGCGAAUUGCAGAAUUCCAGUGAGUCAUCGAAUCUUUGAACGCACAUUGCGCCCUUUGGUAUUCUGAAGGGCAUGCCUGUUCGAGCGUCAUUAUCACCCCUCAAGCCCUCGGCUUGGUGUUGGACGGUUUGGUGGAGGCCCCCUCGGGGGUUCCUGCCCCUCCCAAAGACAAUGACGGCGGCCUCGUUGGACCCCCGGUACACUGAGUUCUUCACGGGACACGUAUCGGACACAUGGGUUUACGGGACACGGUCUGCCUCCCCUCAGGGAGAAUCUUUCUAAGGUUGACCUCGGAUCAGGUAGGGAUACCCGCUGAACUUAAGCAUAUCAAUAAGCGGAGGA
rnacentral:misc_RNA from 1 species